AAAAUCUGCAACCUCUUGAAACUGAACCAAUUUGAUGAAACAAACAUAUGUGACUGUGAGGACUAGUUCCAUAUAAAAUUUCCAGCAGAAUUACAAGUUAAACAAGACAUAACAAAAAGAUUUUCUUUUCCCUAAGGUUUAUUUUUCUAUAGGGUAUACAAUCAAAUUAUACAAAUGCGUAAAAUUGUAUCCUCAUCAUGAGUCCAGGCUUGGAUUUCGAUGUUGUGCUAUGGACCUCAAAUGACUGUACAUUUCUGAACAAGCUAGAGCAAUAUCAGUCAUUGCUCUAAAGAGCUCUGGCAAGCGAGUUUUGAGACCUGUAAAAGAUUUUUGCCUCACCUGUAGGCUAAGCUUUUGGCAAGCUUCCUCCUCGUUUUCCAACUGCUUGCUCAAAGAAUCCAAGACAAUCUGUCUAUCUACCAUGGCAUCCCUGUGGGGGUUGUCUUCUGCCAUGUCAUGAUCAGAUCCCUUAUUUGCAAAACCUAUAUUAUGCUUUUGUUUCCAGUCAUCAAAUUGCUUGGUCUUGCGGGCAAGCUCCUUUCGCAUGGCCUCACAUUUUUCUCUUGUCUUCAUCUCCUCUUCUUGAUAAUUCACGAUGGUCUGUAAUACAGCAGCAAAAUUACCUAUUGCACUUCUAGCAACCUCGUCAGGAAGUUUUUCCAAAUCAUCGCGCCAAGCUAUGAGAAGCGCAUGAAUUGGAGGAUUAUGAACCCUUGGCGGAGAAGAAACCUUUUCUUUCAAAUUGCUCUCAAUAGGGAUGAGAUUUAGCUUUAACCAAUUGUUGAGUGCCUUUAUGUAAUCUUUCUGAAAGUCUGUAAGUCGACAAAAAUGUGUAUGCCAAUCUCUUAUAAUUGCACAUAGCUGACAAGUACGAUCAUAAUGAUAUUCACUAGUUUCCUUGGGGGACUGAGAAAUGUCCACAUAUUUAAGAGCAUUUAAAAGCUUCAACUGGGCCUCAUGGUGCAAUUUCAUGGUACUCCACAUUGCGGCCAUCCUGAAAUGCACACCAAUUACUAAUAUUGCAAACAAAAUACAAUUGCAGCAAGGAGAUCACAACAAAUAUUCCAUUAUUCAAGCCAAAACCACUCUAUACCGUUACAAAUGAAUGAUGCAAUUCAGUAUAUUCAUGUAUCCUAAAAACCGCAAUUAAACAAAAUUACCAUCAAAAAAACUUUAUAAUGAAUGGUACCACUGCUAGCACAAUAACAGCUGGUGCAUGGAAAAAAAAAUUGAAAGAACGGUUCCUACCCACAAAAGUAAGCAUGUGGAUGUAAAAAAGAGGAUCAAUUUUGCCUAUACUGUGGUUCUUGCCCCGAGGAAUGCAGACAUAGAUAUAAAUAAGUGAAAAAAUUUCAUGCAUGCUGUUGACCAAAAAUAAUGAUUGCAAUGAAACUGUAGUAUUUUGCAUCAAUUAAAGUUGUUAGAGAAUUACACAACACACUUGAUAAGUGACAUCACCAAACAAAAGUGAACCUAGUCAACAAAGAAACACAAAAACAACAAAAUGCAAAUGAUACCAUCUUAGAGUAACCAACCUAGAACUGAUAGACCCAAACAUCAUGUAAAAGUAAUAUAAGAUUAAUCUAUAGUAGAAUAAAACAGAAAAUAGAUCAAUAUGUAAAUAUGCUGAGUGUAUCUUAAAAAAGGAUGUUAGUUACAGAUUGGAUGACUGACAGCAUAUAAAAUAGGCAGAAUAAGGAAUGAAUGAAAAUAAUAAGAGAGAUAUUGAUCAAUUGGAUAAUAAAUUAAUAGACCAAUUAAGAUGAUUUGCUUGAAAGAACUUGGGAAAGAAUAAAAAAGGUUGGAAUAUCACUUGAUAAAUCCACAGCUCUAGAAUAGGCAGAAGUUAAAAUAGAUUAUGAGCAGUGAACUUGAGUUGACAGAUGGCCACACUUCCUGCAAACUCUAAGCCGUUGACUAGACUUGUUGAUAGAUAAAGUAUAAUGUUUUAUCAUGACAUACAGAAUCUCACAAAUAUGUCUAAAUUCAUCAAGAAAGAUCCUGGACAGUUUCACCUAGUGAAUUCUAUUAUUAUUAUUAUUUUAAAGCAACUUA
rnacentral:misc_RNA from 1 species